rnacentral:rRNA from 1 species
CCUACGGGCGGACCAGGCGAGAAAACUUUGCAAUGUGCGAAAGCACGACAAGGUUAAUCCGAGUGGUUUGUGCUAAACGAACCUUUUGACAGUCCUAGAAACACUGUUGAAUAAGGGGUGGGCAAGUUCUGGUGUCAGCCGCCGCGGUAAAACCAGCACCUCAAGUGGUCAGGAUGAUUAUUGGGCCUAAAGCAUCCGUAGCCGGCUCUGUAAGUUUUCGGUUAAAUCUGUACGCUCAACGUACAGGCUGCCGGGAAUACUGCAGAGCUAGGGAGUGGGAGAGGUAGACGGUACUCGGUAGGAAGGGGUAAAAUCCUUUGAUCUAUUGAUGACCACCUGUGGCGAAGGCGGUCUACCAGAACACGUCCGACGGUGAGGGAUGAAAGCUGGGGGAGCAAACCGGAUUAGAUACCCGAGUAGUC